UGGGGAAUAUUGGACAAUGGGCGGAAGCCUGAUCCAGCAACGCCGCGUGAGGGAUGACGGCCUUCGGGUUGUAAACCUCUUUCAGUACCGACGAAGCGAAAGUGACGGUAGGUACAGAAGAAGGACCGGCCAACUACGUGCCAGCAGCCGCGGUAAUACGUAGGGUCCGAGCGUUGUCCGGAAUUAUUGGGCGUAAAGGGCUCGUAGGCGGUUUGUCGCGUCGGGAGUGAAAACAGCGGGCUUAACUCGUUGCUUGCUUUCGAUACGGGCAGACUAGAGGUAUGCAGGGGAGAAUGGAAUUCCUGGUGUAGCGGUGAAAUGCGCAGAUAUCAGGAGGAACACCGGUGGCGAAGGCGGUUCUCUGGGCAUUACCUGACGCUGAGGAGCGAAAGUGUGGGGGAGCGAACAGGAUUAGAUACCCUGGUAGUCCACACCGUAAAACGUUGGGCGCUAGGUGUGGGGUCCUUUCCACGGAUUCCGUGCCGUAGCUAACGCAUUAAGCGCCCCGCCUGGGGGAGUACGGCCGCAAGGCUAAAAACUCAAAUGAAUUGACGGGGUCAUAGCUGUUUUCCU
rnacentral:rRNA from 1 species